rnacentral:rRNA from 1 species
UACAGAGGGUGCAAGCGUUACUCGGAAUCACUGGGCAUAAAGGGCGUGUAGGCGGAUGCGUAAGUCCGGUGUAAAAGCCCCCGGCUCAACCGGGGAAAGCCAUCGGAUACUGCGUGUCUUGAGUGCGGGAGGGGAGAGUGGAACUCUUGGUGGAGCGGUGAAAUGCGUAGAUAUCAAGAGGAACGCCGGUGGCGAAAGCGGCUCUCUGGCCCGUUACUGACGCUGAGGCGCGAAAGCUAGGGGAGCAAACGGG